rnacentral:pre_miRNA from 1 species
UCGCUCGGUCAGUGGGGGUGAGAAACUGGCUUGGCUAUGUACUCCCCAUUGUGGACAGUCAGUCUUUUUCUCUCUCCUAUUGGC